UACGUAGGGGGCAAGCGUUGUCCGGAAUCAUUGGGCGUAAAGCGCGUGUAGGCGGCCCACUAAGUCUGAUGUGAAAGCCCGGGGCUCACCCCCGGAAGUGCAUUGGAAACUGGUGGACUAGAGUCCCGGAGAGGAGAGUGGAAUUCCUGGUGUAGCGGUGAAAUGCGUAGAUAUCAGGAGGAACACCGGUGGCGAAGGCGGCUCUCUGGACGGUGACUGACGCUGAGACGCGAAAGCGUGGGGAGCAAACAGG
rnacentral:rRNA from 1 species